UACGAAGGGGGCUAGCGUUGUUCGGAAUUACUGGGCGUAAAGAGCGUGUAGGCGGCCAGGUAGGUCAGCUGUGAAAACUCGAGGCUCAACCUCGAGACGUCGGUUGAAACCAUCUGGCUAGAGUCCGGAAGAGGAGAGUGGAAUUCCUGGUGUAGCGGUGAAAUGCGCAGAUAUCAGGAAGAACACCCGUGGCGAAGGCGGCUCUCUGGGACGGUACUGACGCUGAGACGCGAAAGCGUGGGGAGCGAACAGG
rnacentral:rRNA from 1 species